rnacentral:rRNA from 1 species
AGAGAGAGACAUGCGCGCAUAUCAAUAAGCGGAGGAAAAGAAACUAACAAGGAUUCCCUUAGUAACGGCGAGUGAAGCGGGAAGAGCUCAAAUUUGAAAUCUUCAAGGUUUUACCUUGACGAAUUGUAGUUUAAAGAAGGUGUUUUCUGCUGAAGUUUUGGUAAAAGUUCUUUGGAAUAGGACAUCAUAGAGGGUGAGAAUCCCGUAUUUGACCAUUAUUUUCAGCUUUGUGAUACACUUUCAAAGAGUCGGAUUGUUUGGGAAUGCAGUCCAAAAUGGGUGGUAAAUUUCAUCUAAAGCUAAACUAUUGGCGAGAGACCGAUAGCGAACAAGUACCGUGAGGGAAAGAUGAAAAGAACUUCGAAAAGAGAGUUAAACAGUACGUGAAAUUGUCAAAAGGGAAGCGUUUGACACCAGUGUUGUUUUCUCGAAAAUCAAUUAAAAAUGGCUCGAUUUUGUAUUGUUGAGACCUUAAAAGCUCACUGUACAUUUUUCGUGUCUUUUUUAAUGCACUUUUCGUUUAACAAGUCAACAUCAGUUUCUUUUGUUGUAAAAGGGUCAUUGGAGGGUGGCUUUCUUUUCGGAGAAAGUGUUUAUAGCCUUUGGCCUCUGCAAUCGAAGAGACUGAGGUCUGCAGCGUAGACUCUUCGGGGUUAGAUACAUUUGUGCUAAGUUAUAGCUUUUUAUAGACAACUUGUUGACUAUAAUUAGUCUUGUAGCUUACUCGCUUAUGCUAUUUUACCUACGCUUAGGAUGUUGAAGAUGUAGCACAUCAU